AUCUUGCUGGCGCAUUCUCCUCCCAUUGGCGCCGGCAAGUGUUCCCCUCUGGAGGUUUAACCGCUUUUGCGGCACUUCCAUUCCUUGGCCGGUUCCUUUGGAUCCGGCCAUUUUU
rnacentral:sRNA from 1 species